GACGAAGGAUGCAAGCGUUAUCCGGAUUCAUUGGGUUUAAAGGGAGCGUAGGUGGCCUGAUAAGUCAGUGGUGAAAUCUCUGGGCUCAACCCAGAAAUUGCCAUUGAUACUGUCAGGCUUGAGUAUAGUUGCCGUUGGCGGAAUAUGACAUGUAGUGGUGAAAUACAUAGAGAUGUCAUAGAACACCGAUUGCGAAGGCAGCUAACGAAACUAUAACUGACACUGAGGCUCGAAAGUGCGGGGAUCAAACAGG
rnacentral:rRNA from 1 species